rnacentral:rRNA from 1 species
AUGGUCUUCAGAUCUGUUAAGCAGCAACUGGAGAGGGCUCAACAACGUAUGAAGGUGCAGGCAGACAAACACCGCACUAAAAGAGUUUUCCAGGUUGGUGAUUCGGUGUUCUUGAAAUUGCAACCAUACAUUCAAGCCUCAGUUGCCCCUCGUGCCAAUCACAAAUUAGCCUACAAGUUUUAUGGUCCAUACAGGAUUGUGGAACGCGUUGGUGAGGUUACCUAUCGACUGGACAUGCCAACUUCUUGCAAGGUCCACCCUGUCUUCCAUGUCUCCUUACUCCGCAAGGUCCUUAAGCCAGAACAUCAGGUGCUGCCAGCUCUUCCAUCACCUACAGACAGCAUACAGAUCCCUGAACUUGUUCUGCAGCGACGUGUUGUUACUCGGGGUGCUAAAAAGAUCCCGCAAGCCCUGAUCCAGUGGUCUGACAGCUCAGCAGAUUUGGCUACUUGGGAGGACUUGGAAUCACUCAAACAGAUGUUUCCUCGGGCGCCGGCUUGGGGACAAGCCUCAUCUCAACAAGGGGGGAUUGUUAGCGACAAUGGGCAAGCGACGCGCCAAGAUGAAGAUGAUGUCAACAAACGGCCUACUCGCAAGCCUCGCUUGCCCACUCGGCUUGCAGGCCCAUAA